AAACCAUAUGAUCGACACAGUUUCAAUAUCUUUCUCACAGAACCUGCAUGAAUUGUUCUCCCAAUUAAAUCUUUCAUGUAGGAAGUUAUUAGAUGGAUAAAUGUCAUUGUGAAUUUUAAAUGUUACUUCUUUGGCUUUAGGAAGAACUGGAUAAGUAAAAUAACGCUUCCUUAUUUUCUUUGCCUCUUCUUCACUAAAUUCUUGAAGAACAUACUUUCUUUUCAGUUGACUGGAGAAGUACGGUUUGGAUAAUACAUUUCUGAUAAACUUAUUUGUUAAUUGUUUGCUCUUUAAAUUUUUACCUUCAGUACAUGACGGAUAGCAUAGGUGUAACGUAGUUUUUGGUGGCUUGUGUUAAAAUAACUAAGUGAAUAAUGAAAGGACACGAUGGUUUUGUAUGUAUAUGCCUUUAGCAUUUGUUGUAUAAUGUUCAAAAGGUCAUAUGAGGAGGUUGUUUUCAUAUUUAAUUUGUCAUUCACUUCCCGGGAUAGGAUUGGCAUGGAAGAUGCAGCACUCUUUACAUUUUAAAUAUCAAAUGUAUAUCAAGUGUUAUCGAUCCUCAUAACACCUCCACAAAUAGAGACUGGAACUUCUGAGCACCAUCAUCUUGUCUGCUUUGGGACUGUCAUAGCCCAACAAUCAGAUGCAUCAGAACAACAAAGCACAACUGUGGUGGCCCAGGCACCUUCAGUAACAAAGAUUUAACAACACUGUCAGUCAGGAGCAUAUUUAACAGGAGGCACACUUCAGCUGGCUUGGUGUGG